CCUACGGGUGGCAGCAGUGAGGAAUAUUGGUCAAUGGUCGGGAGACUGAACCAGCCAAGCCGCGUGAGGGAGGAAGGUACAGAGUAUCGUAAACCUCUUUUGUCAGGGAACAAAGACUGGGACGCGUCCCCGGAUGAGUGUACCUGAAGAAAAAGCAUCGGCUAACUCAGUGCCAGCAGCCGCGGUAAUACGGAGGAUGCGAGCGUUAUCCGGAGUUAUUGGGUUUAAAGGGUGCGCAGGUGGGGUGUUAAGUCAGCGGUAAAAGCCCGGGGCUCAACCCCGGCCCGCCGUUGAAACUGGCAGACUCGAGUUGGAGAGAGGAAUGCGGAAUUCGCGGUGUAGCGGUGAAAUGCAUAGAUAUCGGGCAGAACUCCAGUUGCGAAGGCGGCAUGCCGGCUCCACACUGACGCUGAGGCACGAAAGCGUGGGUAUCGAACAGGAUUAGAUACCCCAGUAGUC
rnacentral:rRNA from 1 species